CUACGGGGCGCUGCAGUGAGGAAUAUUGCACAAUGGAGGAAACUCUGAUGCAGCAACGCCGCGUGGAGGAUGACGCAUUUCGGUGUGUAAACUCCUUUUAUAUGUCAAGAAAAUGACGGUAGCAUAUGAAUAAGCACCGGCUAACUCCGUGCCAGCAGCCGCGGUAAUACGGAGGGUGCAAGCGUUACGCGGAAUCACUGGGCGUAAAGGACGCGUAGGCGGGAUAUCAAGUCAGGUGUGAAAUCCUACAGCUUAACUGUAGAACUGCACUUGAAACUGGUAACCUAGAGUAUGGGAGGGGGAGAUGGAAUUAGUGGUGUAGGGGUAAAAUCCGUAGAUAUCACUAGGAAUACCUAAAGCGAAGGCGACCUCCUGGAACAUAACUGACGCUAAGGCGUGAAAGCGUGGGGAGCAAACAGGAUUAGAUACCCGGGUAGUC
rnacentral:rRNA from 1 species